UGGAAUGUCGUGUCUCUUCAACCGAAAAAAGAAUAAUGUCGAGAUCUGAAGCAUGGUAUAAAACCACUAACUGCACACAGCGUUUAUAUCUGGUGCAGCUUUGACGUGAUUUACAUUACGAGAAUGUUGUACUUAUGUUUAGUUUUGAUGGCAGGAAUCGUGUUGGAGCCAUUGGUUGCAAAGGAGCCCUCAUGUCCUGUAUGCUCCCAUUAUGAUUAUGAAGAGCGCCUUUUAGAAAGAGUGAUCAGAAAUGAGUUGGCAUUGAAGGACACGUUGGAGAAAAUUACAGAAACAAACGCAAAGGUUGAUGAAACUUUGAAAAAAAUUGAGAAUGAGAAUUCGAAAUUGAACAACGCCAUACACGCAUUAGAGGAGAAGAAGAGCUCUCUGGAUGUUAAAGUUGACGCCUUCAUUGUUUCUAGAGCUCAUAAUGUGUCUGAAUCCGUUGCAGAAAUGAAAGCAGCCAUCAAAUCACUAGUUGUACAGACUACGAAGGAAUUGGGUGUCAUGAAAGAUAAAAGUUUGGUACCUCUGUUAUGUUUCAUGCUCGGCUAAAUACUGAUGGAACACACACAUUCGCUGCCAAUCAAAACAUUUCGUUUAAGACAGUCAUAGUAAACGAAGGUUGAGGCUAUGACUCUGCCACUGGUCACUUCACGGCGUCCGUAGCUGGAGUGUACAUGUUCAUGGUGCAGUACUGUGCACGUGAUGAAAAAGUUGCUGAUAUUGAACUUGUCCAUAAUGGCAGACCAUUACAAAGAUCCCAACACAAAGGUGGAAACCGUCUAUGCUGCCUGUGCCAGCAUGCAGGCAUUCGCAAAGGUUUCCAUGGCAGACAAGGUUUGGGUGCGGUCUAUCGAAGCGUCUGAGAUAGCACAUUACGACAUAGAUAAAUGGACCACUUUCUGCGGGUUCCUGGUUCGCGUUUAAAGGAAAAUUCGAAUAUUUAACAUUAUAAUAACUAGUAUUAUUAAUGUUGUUUUAGUGCCCCAUUGUUUUUCUUCCAAACCUGUGACACACGAAGUUUUUUCGUGUAAAAUGACAACUUUAUGCAAAACAAGUGUUAUGGUGCAUAUUUGCUUAAAUCAAAUACAUGUAUUCAGGUAUUUGUUCGUAUAUGUCAUUUCGCAACGUUGUACACGAACCUAUUGUUACCAUUUUACAUUUUCCCUUGUGCUUCGUAGUUUACCAAUAAUGAAAUAAAGAUGAUUCACUAUGAAGCAUGUUUAAUUUUUUCGAGUGAUAUGAUAUCAUUUAUGCUGUAUUUGGCGGCCAGUAAGGUUGGCAGCAAGUUGGAGACAUGCCGUUCUUUCCCGGAUACCAUUAUUUUAAUUUCAUGAGUGUGUGUUAUGUAGCCUUAUCACAACCUUGUUUGUCGCUCUUUAAUGUAUUUUUACGGGUGUUUGUUUUUAGAAUGAUGACGCUAUUCCUUGUCGUUGUCUCGGUGUGUUACAAUUACAAUGACAGGACGCAUCAUUUGCCCGAGUCAUUAAUGGUUCCGUGUUUCAAGUCGAUCAACUCCUCCUUACAGCGAUCAAGAUCAAUUUAAGAUUGGCUUUUGUAUAGAAAAGGCUUAGUAUUCGAAUAUAAUGAUCAGACGGAACUCCGCGUUAAAUUUGUGGCCUUUUCUUAUUUUGUAUUUCAUGACUUUGGUGGUAGUUGUAUAGUAUUUCGUAUUUUUAUAUAUAGUGGAUGUUAACAAAUAUUUCUAAAACCUUGCAAGAUAUUAUACAUCAAAGUUCAAACGGAAAGCCUAGCGCUUACUGAUGUCUUACUAGCGGGUUAAAGUUUUAUGUUUAAGCUAAAAUAUGUCGGGAAUAACAAGUUAUUGUCGUACAAUAAUGUUAUAGUUCGGGUGAGAAUUUGAAAACAAAACAGCGAGGCUUGUCAUGCCGGUGUUUUAUUCGUGUCAAGCCUGAAAUUUUGUAAACGAUAGUACAGUAAACUGUUAUUGUGCUUAUUAUACCUUUGCUCAACCAUUAAAAAUAAAAUAAAAUGAUCAUCGCUUCACCUCGUCACCCCUGUAUUUUAAGUGCGUUUGAAUUUGUUCUAAAAAUCAUUGUGGAGCCUAAUCUGGUGCCAUUCAGAAAAGUUUCGGAAGCAGUGUGCUUGCCUUUUAAUUCUCCAAGAUGCAUAUAAUAUAUACGUGUUAUCAUAAACCGUCGUGUGUGUAUGUUUCCAGGUCAUUCGUUUUAGCAUAAGUCAUAGUGUGCAAACACAAAAAUAAAAUAAUAAAGGGU